UCAUUUACACCUCACACUGACAACAUGCUGUGGACCUUCUGCACUCUCAUUACUGCUCUAACGUAUGUUGAUGCGGUGAUCGUGUUGACCCAGACACCUGCUGUCCACACAGUUUCUUCAGAUCAAGAAGUUGUUCUCAACUGCAACAUAGAGAGAUAUGACAGGAAUUAUGUUAGCUGGUAUAAACAAGUUCCUGGAAUGGUUCCUCAGUAUGUUCUAAGUUUUCAUCAUUCUAGCAGCUCACUCAGCUUUGGAACAGGAUUCUCCUCAGACAGAUUCAACUCUAAAUCCUCAUCAGACAUUGAUUACCAGUUCAUUAUCAAGCGAGCAGAGACAGGAGACUCUGCAGUGUAUUACUGUCAGACAUGGGAUGACUCUGCCAGUGCAGCUGUACCACAGUGAUUUAGACAGUGACAGAAACCUCCUCAUUAGUACUUCUGCUUUUUGAGAAACUUUCACAUGCAAAAAAAAAAAGACCCAUAAAAAAACCCUGUAAUGUGUUAUUAAACACUAAAUCCUCCAUUUUUAAAUCCUUUUUAAUCUUCAUUAUUAAAGGCAUAAAGAAGAAAGCACUGAAAUAUGUACAUCUCAUUUACUCCCAUCAACCCGAAUAGAUCACAUAAACCAAACUAUCCAACAUAUAGUAUUAUAUGUUGCUGCAAGCUAUUUUUAAUAACAGAAAUUUUAUAGACACUACUCACAGGUCUAACUGUCCAACAGCAGU